rnacentral:rRNA from 1 species
GAUGAACGCUGGCGGCGUGCCUAAUACAUGCAAGUCGAGCGAACAGACGAGAAGCUUGCUCCUCUGAUGUUAGCGGCGGACGGGUGAGUAACACGUGGAUAACCUACCUAUAAGACUGGGAUAACUUCGGGAAACCGUAGCUAAUACCGGAUAAUAUAUUGAACCGCAUGGUUCAAUAGUGAAAGACGGUGUUGCUGUCACUUAUAGAUGGAUCCGCGCUGCAUUAGCUAGUUGGUAAGGUAACGGCUUACCAAGGCAACGAUGCAUAGCCGACCUGAGAGGGUGAUCGGCCACACUGGAACUGAGACACGGUCCAGACUCCUACGGGAGGCAGCAGUAGGGAAUCUUCCGCAAUGGGCGAAAGCUUGACGGAGCAACGCCGCGUGAGUGAUGAAGGUCUUCGGAUCGUAAAACUCUGUUAUUAGGGAAGAACAAAUGUGUAAGUAACUGUGCACGUCUUGACGGUACCUAAUCAGAAAGCCACGGCUAACUACGUG